rnacentral:lncRNA from 1 species
CCACAAGCAAGAGAUCAAGGACCUCUCACCAUAGAAUGCUAAGCAACAUUAUAAUCCAAAGCUCUCCAACUCCAACACCAAGUAUAGGCAGCCUCCAGCAUCACUAGUUGCAUGUGCCCAAAUGGAGUUACAUUAUGCCAAAGCACAAUGGACUUCAUGUCACCUAUCCUAUUGCCUAACUUCAAACCAUCAAGUCAUUCAAUUUUCUUUGAGAUUUCUUCAGGCCCAAUACUAUACGACCCACCUCCUUUUUCUGUUAAACAACUACAGGAACUGCAUAAAUUAUUCAUUCUUCUCUCUCCCUUUUUUUUCUUUUAUCUUUCUUCCACACUGUGUCCUUUUUUUUUUUAAGUUUCCCAUUGUCCCUGGGAUUUUGUUCUCUCAUGCUCUUUUGAUCAUCCCUUUUUCUCUUGUGACUCUUUUUAAAAAGAAAUUCUCUCUUUUUUUAAUUAAGGCCUUACUGUAAAUCAGAGCUUCCUGGCACCCCAUUAUACUGGGCAACAGAGAACUCAGAACACUGAAGAGUGUACCUGCGGCCAUUAUUAGACAUUUCAUUAAAGAAUUACCUCAAAAUUUGAGAAGAUAUAGCAACAGAUAUGACUCAAUCAAUUAACAAAAAGGACUUCAAAUAACAAAAGAGAAACCAAAAUGAUGCUUCCAUCAGACAAUUUUAUUUGAUACAUGCUCAAAUACAAAGUAAAAAGAAAAAAAAUUUACUACAUUCUGUGAAUGAUAUAGUAUCAAACAUUAGCUAAAAACAUACUCAAUUUGCCCGAAAUAAAAAAAAGGAACAAAGAACCAUUCCUGUAUCUGUUCCAGAAAUUGCCUGGUCAAAAAUUAGCAAAAUCUGAAGUUUACCCAUUCAAUUAGGUAAGAGUAAAAAAUCAAUGUCUGGAAUACCAUGAUGUGGUGGAACUGCUUAGAUAUCAUCCAAGAUCACUAAUAUACUCUUGGUCCAUAUCCAGAAAUGAACUAUCUUCUCCAGAAGACAAUGACCCUUAAAAGAUCAACUUGUGCAGGAGCCAUAAUGCACUUGGAUGCAGUUUUUGUGACAAAAUGAGAAAACCAACAACCCACUAGUUAAUAAAAUCUAAUAUACAAGGUUUACCAGCUGGUAGCUGGAUGAUAGAAAACAAAGCUAACAUACAUCCAACAUAAGUGAGCUAUUGUUGAGCAUCUUUCUCAUGCAUCCAACAUAUACAUAUAAUAUAUUUUGACAGAGGAAUGGUUUCCCUUCACACAUGUAAUUAAGGUGUCAUCAAGUAACAUCAAGAACAUAAAGGAGCUCUUGUCAAGCAUUUUCUAUUUUCAACUGCAAUGAAUCAUGAUAUCUAGUUUGCAUACAUGAUGCUCCAAAGCCUCUUUGAAGAAACAUAUGAUGGUAAAAGGACCAAAAAAUGAGCAUCAGAAUCGAAAAGUGCUGAAGAUCUUCACAGUUCAGACAACAUAUUUUUAUUUUUUAUUCAUUAAACAUCAGAGAGUGCUUCCAAGUCAUAAGAAUGCAUCAUCUAAUACCAGUCCUCAAAAACUGAUUUGGGCGGUAAAUGGUGGUUCCUUCUAGCAGUAAAUUCUUGAAUAAUCUAUGCAUAAAGAAUACCAUGUGUGACUACAUAAGUAAACUGGCAAGGGAAAAAAGGUAUAUGUAAAUCAAUAACUAACAAGCAUGGAAGAUAAAAUCCAUUGCAAGACCAUUCCAUAUUCGUAGUACUAGCCCGUGUAGGAUAACGUAAUUAUGCAUAACAUAUUCAGAUGAGGUUAGCAAUGUUGAAAUCAUAUAUUAAAUCCAUUUAUCUACUUACAGCAAGGCGUAAAUCAACGAGGCUCUUGGGUCCAACUAGAACAUCAUAGAGUGCUGUACAAUUCAAGACCUCACAGAUAUAUAUGUUGUAGAAAUGAAGUCAUUGAUUGACAAACAUCAGCAGAACAAUCAAAACCAUGAACGCACAUGUUCCAAAUCAACACAUGCAAGAUAGUCAGAUCAUGAAACUCAC